CCAGACUCCUACGGGAGGCAGCAGUGGGGAAUAUUGCACAAUGGGGGAAACCCUGAUGCAGCGACGCCGCGUGAGUGAAGAAGUAUUUCGGUAUGUAAAGCUCUAUCAGCAGGGAAGAAGUUGACGGUACCUGAGUAAGAAGCCCCGGCUAACUACGUGCCAGCAGCCGCGGUAAUACGUAGGGGGCAAGCGUUAUCCGGAUUUAUUGGGUUUAAAGGGUGCGCAGGCGGCACGGCAAGCCGGCGGUCAAAGCGCGGGGCUCAACCCCGCCCAGCCGUCGGAACUGCCGGGCUAGAGUGGGCGAGAAGUGCGCGGAAUGCGUGGUGUAGCGGUGAAAUGCAUAGAUAUCACGCAGAACUCCGAUUGCGAAGGCAGCAUGCCGGCUCCACACUGACGCUGAGGCACGAAAGCGUGGGUAUCGAACAGGAUUAGAUACCCGGGUAA
rnacentral:rRNA from 1 species